rnacentral:rRNA from 1 species
GUAGUCUCGCACAGAUGCAUAUCAAUAAGCGGAGGAAAAGAAACUAACAAGGAUUCCCCUAGUAACGGCGAGUGAAGCGGGAAGAGCUCAAAUUUGAAAUCUUAAAGGGUUUCCCUUUACGAAUUGUAGUUUAAAGAAGUGUUUUCUGUUGAGGUUUUGGUAAAAGUUCUUUGGAAUAGGACAUCAUAGAGGGUGAGAAUCCCGUAUUUGACCUUUACUUUCAACUUUGUGAUACACUUUCAAAGAGUCGGAUUGUUUGGGAAUGCAGUCCAAAAUGGGUGGUAAAUUUCAUCUAAAGCUAAAUAUUGGCGAGAGACCGAUAGCGAACAAGUACCGUGAGGGAAAGAUGAAAAGAACUUUGAAAGAGAGUUAAACAGUACGUGAAAUUGUCAAAAGGGAAGCGUUUGACACCAGUGUUGUUUUUCUGAAAAUCAAUUAAAGAACUGUUUAUGCUAAGUUGUUUAGACUUUAUCAGCUAAUCUGCUUAGUUUUGAGCUUUUCUUUAAUGCACUUUUCAGUUAACAAGUCAACAUCAAUUUCUUUUGCUGUAAAAAAGCUUGAGGAAGGUGGCUUGAGAUUCGUCUUAAGUGUUUAUAGCCUCUUGCCUAUGCAGUCGGAGAGAUUGAGGUCUGCAGCGUAGAUCCUUCGGGGCUAAAUGCAUUUGUGCUAAGUUAUAGCAUUUUAUAGACAACUUGUUGACUAUGAUUUGUCUUGUAGCUUACUCGCUUAUGUUAUUUUACCUACGCUUAGGAUGUUGACGCAUGAGAUAUACGC